GACGAACGCUGGCGGCGUGCUUAACACAUGCAAGUCGAACGGAAAGGCCCUGCUUUUGUGGGGUGCUCGAGUGGCGAACGGGUGAGUAACACGUGAGUAACCUGCCCUUGACUUUGGGAUAACUUCAGGAAACUGGGGCUAAUACCGGAUAGGAGCUCCUGCUGCAUGGUGGGGGUUGGAAAGUUUCGGCGGUUGGGGAUGGACUCGCGGCUUAUCAGCUUGUUGGUGGGGUAGUGGCUUACCAAGGCUUUGACGGGUAGCCGGCCUGAGAGGGUGACCGGCCACAUUGGGACUGAGCUACGGCCCAGACUCCUACGGGAGGCAGCAGUGGGGAAUAUUGCACAAUGGGCGGAAGCCUGAUGCAGCAACGCCGCGUGCGGGAUGACGGCCUUCGGGUUGUAACCCGCUUUCGCCUGUGACGAAGCGUGAGUGACGGUAAUGGGUAAAGAAGCACCGGCUAACUACGUG
rnacentral:rRNA from 1 species